rnacentral:rRNA from 1 species
CGGGACGGGUGAGUAAUGCUUGGGAAUCUAGCUUAUGGAGGGGGAUAACUACGGGAAACUGUAGCUAAUACCGCGUAAUAUCGAAAGAUUAAAGUGUGGGCCUUCGGGCCACAUGCCAUAGGAUGAGCCCAAGUGGGAUUAGGUAGUUGGUGAGGUAAAGGCUCACCAAGCCGACGAUCUCUAGCUGGCCUGAGAGGAUGACCAGCCACACUGGGACUGAGACACGGCCCAG